UACGUAGGGUGCGAGCGUUAAUAGGAUUUACUGGGCGUAAAGCGUGCGCAGGCGGCCCGUUAAGACAGGUGUGAAAUCCCUGGGCUCAACCUAGGAAUUGCGCUUGUGACUGGCGGGCUCGAGUACGGUAGAGGGGGGUGGAAUUCCAGGUGUAGCAGUGAAAUGCGUAGAGAUCAGGAGGAACACCGAUGGCGAAGGCAGCCCCCUGGGCCUGUACUGACGCUCAUGCACGAAAGCGUGGGGAGCAAACAGG
rnacentral:rRNA from 1 species